rnacentral:rRNA from 1 species
UAGUUAUAUGCUUGUUCUAAAGAUUAAGCCAUGCAUGUGUCGGAAUAUGUCUGUAUAGACGAAUCUGCAAACGGCUCAUUAUAACAGUGAUUGCAUAAUUGACUUUCUUAAACGGAUAACCGUGGGAAACUAAGGCUAAUACGAGCCAAUUUUGCCAGAUUUCAUUCUGUGCUGUAUUUCUUGUGUUAUAAGUCCAAGGCGCUCUGCGUGUUCGAUGAAACGCAGGAACUUUUCGAGUCGAAUAAUCGAUGCGUCAAAGUGGUUUCUGACCUAUCAGCUUUCGACGGUAGGGUAUUGGCCUACCGUGGCAAUGACGGGAAAAACGGGGAAUUAGGGUUUGAUUCCGGAGAGGGAGCCUGAGAAAUGGCUACCACGUCUAAGGAUGGCAGCAGGCGCGCAAAUUACCCAAUCCUGAAACAGGGAGGUAGUGACAGAAAAUAGCAACACAAAGCAUUUGCUUUUUGAUUGCAAUGUGGAUCUUCCAAAUUUUGCUUCGAGAAUCAAUU